GAGCUUCUCUUCAACUGGUUAUUGACCAGCUGAACAAACAAGAAAAAGCGUUGAUGCAAGCAUUUACCGGUACGACCGACCGCACAGAUAAAGUCUUUACAAUAUUGGUAGAACCCGGCAGUGAUACACAAGAACAGGUUGCCGCUCGUUUCUCCACCCAGUUAGGAGUACUUCCGACCAACAAUCUGGCUGGUGACCCGAUUUAUG
rnacentral:misc_RNA from 1 species